GUACAUCUAGAUCCAUACCCCUAAACUCCCUAGAUGUCUUGGGUAGUACUCUCGGGUGCUGCUCUUUUUUU
rfam:Listeria monocytogenes EGD-e, complete genome